rnacentral:rRNA from 1 species
CCCUUAGAUGUUCUGGGCUGCACGCGCGCUACACUGAUGCGCUCAACGAGUUUACGACCUUGCCCGGAAGGGUUGGGUAAUCUUUUUAAAACGCAUGUCGUGAUGGGGAUAGAUUAUUGCAAUUGUUGAUCUUGAACGAGGAAUUCCUAGUAAGUGCAAGUCAUUAGCUUGUGCUGAAUACGUCCCUGCCCUUUGUACACACCGCCCGUCGCUCCUACCGAUUGAGUGCUCCGGUGAACAAUUUGGACUGCUUUGAUUCGAUUAGAAUUUGAAGCGGAAAGUUUAGUGAACCUUAUCACUUAGAGGAAGGAGAAGUCGUAACA